rnacentral:lncRNA from 1 species
AUGAGGUGCAGACAGAACCCUGGGCUUCAUGGAAGGCAAGCAAACGUUCUACCAACUGAACAACACCCUACUCAGGUCCAAUUCUGGCAUUGUUGGCUCAAUCGAUACGUGUUUAUUGAACACCCUUGACGGCAGCCCUGGGGUCUCCGGGGGUGCUGGAGACACUGAACAGCAAGAGCACCCUCGGUUCCUGGAAAUCAUAAUUGCUCGUUCUUCUUAUCAGAGGCAGGGCCCCAGUGACCUUCCUCGCUACCCCCCCCCAAGGCAAUGAUGGAGCUACGUAGUGAAAAGCAGAGAGAUGUAUUCGCUUCGCUGUGGCCACAGUGAGAAGGGUGACAAGUAAUGAGGUCCAGGGACCCCCCCCCCCAAUCCAUCUUCAGACUGAGGUUGAGGUUUGAGAGAGAUGCACAGCCAGGUUGUCCCACCGUGUGCUGUGCCGUGUGUCACUGACCCAGACCAGUCUGGGCUCCAGUCUGUCCUGUGUAGAAUUUUUCCCUGACAGACAAGUACCCUCUCUGGCUGUCAGCAGGCUUCAGCUUUUUUUCUUCUCUGAGCAUGAGACUCCUGUCGGAGGGGAUUCCGAUUCCUGGGGGAACCUUUAUCUCAACAGUCUGAUAGCCAAAGGGAUGGGCUCUGUAGAGUCCCUAGAGAGUAUAGGCCAGGAUGGUUUUGUUCUUGCUCCAAGCACAGACCACGCCUGUGAACUCGUUUACUAUUACAGAUGGGGAAACUGAGGCAUGGAGACACCUCUAAGCAACUAAUUAAAGUACAGAGUUGAGAAGGCCAUGAGGAGGGUCCCUCAGAGGUAGUAACUCAUUCAUUCAUUCAUUCAUUCAUUCAAGCUUCAGUCAGCUGUAGUGGAGCAUGCCUAGAGUCCCAGCUGCUCUAGAAAGAUGGAGCAGGAGAACUGUUGGAGCCCAAGAGUUUCAAGUUGGCUUAGGCAACAGAGCAAGACCUGGUCUCUAAAAUAAACAAACUUAAGCAAACCUGCAGACUGGUAAGCAAACACACACACUUCAGUUGACCCGGGCAAGGUUCUAGUAGGAAGUACUAUGUGAUUUUUUUUUUUUUUUCACACUCAGAACAUAAGUGUCAAUGCUCUCGCUAUGAAGAGGAGUCACAGGAUUGGCUGGGGUGGUGAAAGCGAAGCUGGGUGAGGCUCCAGAAGCUGUUACCCAGCUCUCAGGAGAUAGAGGCAGGAGGGACUGGUUCAAGGCCAGCCUCAGUUUACCUAGUCAAUUUGAGAUUGGUCUGGGCUGCAUGAGACUGUCUUCAUAACACAGGAGCCGGAGAUGGCGAGAUGGCGAUAGACCCGCACAUACAGGGGCAGGAAGAGAAAUCGACAGUAAUGUCCAUGAUGAAAUCGUAGACACUGAAAAGGCCUAUCUCACCCCUGCA